AGUACCUGGAUUUGGGAACUCAUUACUGGUGGAGAUUAGGAUGACCACAAAUCUCUCUGGUUUUAAAGCAAAGCGAGGCGAAAAACUUACUUUCUUGGCUUAGCUCUCCCUUUUUCAUGUUCUCCAAACGCAGGUGAGGAAAAAGAAGAGAGAAAAGAGGCAAAGGGAAAAGGAAGACUGAGAGAAGUAAACAAACAGAAGGAAGAGAUGGGAAGAUGGUAGAGAAUUCCCGUAGAAGGACCCUCACUGAGAGAAAUGGAAACUAUGGAUUUCAGAGAAAAUGAAGCUUCAAGGAAACCAAGACUAUCCUGCUACAUUGGAAGUGAGAACUAGCUCUCCAUAUUCCUGGAAAUAGUUUGUAAAUUCUUCUAAUGAUUACCUCUCAGACGACUGCACUAACUUUAAUACUUGUUUGUGGUUUAGCCCAUAUAAUAAUUGUAUCUGACUGAAAGAGGCAUGUUUGAAUAUGUAACUCUGUUGUUAAGGUUUAUAAAGGGAGUCUGAGUGAUACCAAACAAUAGUCUAUAUAAAAGUCCAUGAAUAUGGUUGUUUCUACUGUAGCAGAAAUUACCCAGAAGUUAACCCACAGCUUUUGUCAAUUAAAUUAACCUUACAAAAAUGGGGAGACAACUCUCAGAGAAAGGAAUGGGUACUCAGAUCACAGCUUGUUUGAAUUAUUAUCACUUAGAAAGGCACAAGCAAACAUACUUCAGGACUGCCAGUGAAGACAACCAGAGAAACAGUGGUAUCCAAAGUGCUCUAAAAGGAAACAAUGGGGAAGGUGUCUUCAGAAGUGCGCCACUCAACUAAAAUAAAACACUAAUGAAGAAACACCUGCAGAGGGAGCACUGGUAUGAAUUUUAAUCCUUCCUGACAGGUGAAGAGAAUGCACUGUGGCCUUCCCAGUUUGGGAGAGUGAUAUAACUAGAUAAAACAUUGGUAGUAACAGCAGUGCUCCAUCUGGCUGCCAUUUUCUGAAAGAGAACCUUCUGUGGGCCAUAAUGAAGUCUACUGUACAACCACUUUGUGUGCUGUGUGGUGCCUGUUAUGCUUCUGCUUGAGAAUACCUGCCAAAUCUGUCUAUUCAAAGGAUUAAGACAUAUAUUUUGCAAUUAUGUCAUGAGAAUCAGACGCUACACGUUGCCUUUGAAAUUGACUUUGGAAGUCUUCCAGUUGGUGAGUGGGCUCUUCCUGUGGCCUUUAGCAAACUACCAAGCAGGGUGGACAGUGUGUAUAGCACCAGCUCCUAACCUAUGAAUUCAUAUCCAUCUGUAAAUUGCACCUACACUCAAAAAAUGAACAGGAAGUGAUUUUUUUUUCCCCUGAAUGUAUCAUUUACUUAAACUGUUGCAAUGAGUGUGGGAAUGGUUAAAACUCCUGUGGGUAGCUUUAUGGGUAGCUUUAAAUUGCAAAUAAACUUUUGUAAAUAC
ensembl:lncRNA